AGCUGCGGUGCGGUGGGAGCUGCUCGCUCAGGUGGAGGAUGUGAUUGAUUUGCUUUUAUUUUGACCACCCCCGCACCUCUAAGGAAGCGGUUUCUGACUUUCCCAAAACGCAGCCGUACAAACGGUGCUUCCCCACCCGUGGCGUUUGCUCGGAGAGCACGGCAGUGGGAGAGACGCUUUUCAUCAGCUAGGAAGGAGCAGAGCUGUGAGGCAGGGACAGCAACUCGCUGCUUGUUGUAGGCUGUGCGGCAGGGCGGCUCUUCGUGUCGUGCUCCUGUGCAGUUUCUGUUUGCUCCGCGUUCAGGCACUCAGGGCAAAGAGACUUUCCCUAAAAACAUCAAAACUGAACCAAGGAGGGAAUAUUCGGGCACGAAGGCUGAAUGGCUUGAGAGACACAUUUGGGACAGUGGAGGUGCUGCAUAUGGUGUAAAACCAGAAGUUCUGUGUAAUUCGGCUUCAUUUGCUCCAACUGCGAACAUCUGGUUAUCUCAGUGGCUGGAUGGUACUUUUUUCCUUGGCUUGUAACUUUUUGGCACCUACACAGAGGCCUUUACAGGAAGCAGAAAAAAGGUGUUGCCUCAAGACCACAAGAGCAAAGCUUUUGACUAUUUUUAUCCACUGAUGAAGGAUAUAGUGGGAAAGAGC